UUCCAGGUAGCUUAAUGGUAAAGCACCCAACCGGCAAUUGCGGGAUCUGGAUUCACGUCCCGGCCCGGGUU
rnacentral:tRNA from 1 species